GCAAAGUAGUUUAGGUUAAGAAUAGUAGGUUGUGGACCUAUUGGGGGGUUAUACCUCUUUGUUA
rnacentral:tRNA from 1 species